UAGAGGAAGUAAAAGUCGUAACAAGGUUUCCGUAGGUGAACCUGCGGAAGGAUCAUUAUCGAGUUUUGAAAUGGGUUGUAGCUGGCCUGAAAACAAAAAAGGCAUGUGCACACCUAACUUCAUCCACUCUUAUACCCCUGUGCACCAAUUGUAGGGCUCGGUGGAAAAGGUUGACUUGAUGAUUAAUUUUAUUGAGUUGGCUUUGGAAGCCUUGUUCCCUAUGUCUUCAUAACAAACGCUUUAGUUAAGAAUGUAACCUUGCACAUGAUGCAAAAAAUAAAUAAAUACAACUUUCAGCAACGGAUCUCUUGGCUCUCGCAUCGAUGAAGAACGCAGCGAAAUGCGAUAAGUAAUGUGAAUUGCAGAAUUCAGUGAAUCAUCGAAUCUUUGAACGCACCUUGCGCUCCUUGGUAUUCCGAGGAGCAUGCCUGUUUGAGUGUCAUGGAAUUCUCAACCUUUAAAAUAUUUUAUAUUUUGAAGGCUUGGACUUGGAGGUUGUGUGUYGGCUURUAACAAAGUCGACUCCUCUGAAAUGCAUUAGCGUGAAUCUUACGGAUCGCCUUCGGUGUGAUAAUUGUCUACGCCUUUGGUCGUGAAGUAUAACAGUGUUCUUCGCUUACAAUUGUCUUUGGACAAAUAAUUACUUUGACAUCUGACCUCAAAUCAGGUAGGACUACCCGCUGAACUUAAGC
rnacentral:rRNA from 1 species